rnacentral:lncRNA from 1 species
CGGCACGGGGCAGGUGCUCGGCAGGGCCUGAGUAGUGUGCGGGGCUCCCGGGACCGGGGCCGCGCUGUGCGCUGUCUGGUUCUUCUGAAUCGGCGUGUGUUGGCUCCUCCUCCGCUGCAUCUUUCCCAGCCCUAAAUCCCGGGAUUUCAACGCUGGCAGGCCUUGGGAAUCAGCCCCUCGGCUGGCAGCAAGGCAGAGCGGGUGUUCCGAGCACCCCGGCAGAGUUGUAGAAGGAAAAUAAGGCUGAGGAGAAUGAAGCACCUGCUGCAGGAGAUGAGCUUUUUUAGACAUGACAGUAUCCUGAGUCCAGAAUCGUUCCAUUCUCUACAAACAGUCAUGCAGAGACUUAAUUUUCAAAUAAGAUAA